AGUGAACGCUGGCGGCAGGCCUAACACAUGCAAGUCGAGCGGCAGCGGGUCCUUCGGGAUGCCGGCGAGCGGCGGACGGGUGAGGAAUGCGCCGGAAUCUGCCUUUUUGUGGGGGAUAACGUAGGGAAACUUACGCUAAUACCGCAUACGACCUACGGGUGAAAGUGGGGGACCGCAAGGCCUCACGCAGAAAGAUGAGCCGACGCCGGAUUAGCUAGUUGGCGGGGUAAAGGCCCACCAAGGCGACGAUCCGUAGCUGGGCUGAGAGGAUGGUCAGCCAAACUGGAACUGAGACACGGUCCAGACUCCUACGGGAGGCAGCAGUGGGGAAUAUUGGACAAUGGGCGCAAGCCUGAUCCAGCCAUGCCGCGUGUGUGAAGAAGGCCUUCGGGUUGUAAAGCACUUUUGUCCGGAAAGAAAUCCAAUCGAUUAAUACUCGGUUGGGAUGACGGUACCGGAAGAAUAAGCACCGGCUAACUUCGUGCCAGCCGCCGCGGUAAGAC
rnacentral:rRNA from 1 species